CUGAUGAGAUAAGAGCCACACUUGUAGACCACGUUCUCAAUCACAGGCUUAUAAUGUCCGAGGCUGGUAGAAGGGUGCAGCCAAAUGUUGGGAGAACAACUGUGUCCUCAAUCAUUCAGACUUUUUGUCGACAGAACAGGACUGCAAGACAACUUCACAGGGGUGGCAGAGGGCCCCUUUUCACACCUGAACAGGAGGAGGCUAUUUGCACCAUGGUAGUAGAAAACAAUGCCAUAAGACUAAGUGAGCUAAAGAGUGCCAUUAUAGAGGACAACAACAUCUUUGAAAACAUCCAAACAGUCAGCAUCUCAACCAUUGACAGGGUUGAUGAAAAGACACCAAAAUGAAUAUGAAGCAGCAGUAUACUGUUCCUUUUGAAAGAAAUGGUGAAAGAGUGAAGGAGCUGCGCUACCAGUAUGUACAGACCCAGAGAAAGGCAAAUACAAGGCUCUCGGAAUUCAUCACAGUCUGGACAUGUGGCAUGGUGCAAAAAACCUUGCUAAAAAAAUAGCAGCCGCAGCAAAGAUGAAAGGAUGCUCCAUUCUCCUGAACUGGCUGAAAGAUGUUGUCAACCAUUUUUGGUGGUGUUGCAAGAAAGCUGACACACGUGAACAGUUCAUGAUAUUAUGGGUUGGCAUUCUUCACCAUGUCUGUGAUGUUCACACCUGGACUAUGGGAAGCUGUGAACAUGGUCAACUUGAAACAGAACAAAUACGGGAAAAGAAGCGGAUCCAGAGAGACUCCCAAUGCCACAAAGCCUUAGUGAAUGUAGUUCUGAACAAGAAGUGGCUGAAAAAUGUUGACAAAUAUGUGCGAUUUAGGUAUUGUCAUGACUCUGCUUCAUCAUGUCAUGUCUAUUCUUGGUCUUGUAGCAGAGUCAUGACAAAGCCUUAGGUUUUAUGUGGAGAGAGAGAUUGUUGACCUUUCGGCUUUCCAUACUCUCUCUCUUUGGUCUGCGUCUCUGUUCCCGCCAUCUCGUUUCCUCGUUAACUUUCCCUGAGUGUUUCAUUACCCACACCUGCCCUGUGUCAUUAUCCCUCGUUUGUCUUGCCUUUAUAUUGCCCUCAUGUUUCAUUGUCUCGUUGCUCGUGUAUUGUAUGCAGUGCGUCGUGUUGGUUCUACAUCCGCUUUCUGUGUUUCCCGUGAGUUUCUCGUCUUGUUCCUGCCUGGUCUUGCCUGUUAGUUCUCGUUUUGCCCCCUUGAGGGAUGUUUUUGUGUUUAUCUUUUUAUAUAUAUUCUUAGUUCAGUUUUCCCCAUCGUGGGUGUUUUGUUUUUUACCUUUGUUAUUUGUAAAAUAAAGUAUUUUUGUUAACCCCUUACCCACCGCCUGCCUGCAUUUGGGUUCUUCAGCCUCACGUCCGUGACCGAUCGACUGCAGAUCUAGAAUCUUUCCAGAACCAUAUCCUCAUGUACGCAAGUAAGCGCUACGCUUUUAGCCCCCCAGUUUAUGAGGCAAGGGUUCUGCUUGCUGCAUUAGACUACAACUACCACUGGAACCGACCAACAAUGAAAACGAAAGAGGGCAAAGAGAUUUUCAGAAGAUUGUAUAAGAAAAACGCGAGAAGAUACAGCAUGUAUGCUUUGAAAGGCCAAGAAACCUAUGACUACAUUCCGGAGUUGCAAGGACUGAUUCUGAUGAGCAAACUCACAAGUGGAGUGGGGAUGCCUACAAGGAGUAGCCUUAGAACAGAUGACCUCAGAAGGCUUGGUUUGGUGACCCCCCCGUACCUGCACCAGCCAUAUCUGAAUUGUUGCAGACACAAGUCAGGAGAGGUUUAGGACCAUUAUUCAAUGCAGAACCCGAUGUGGAAGGAUCCACCUAGAAGACUACCUUGCCUUGUCGCAGGAAAGCUGUGAUCCUCUUUUUCCUGUCUUUUUUUACACCCAAAUGUUUUCUGUCAACCCUUGUCUUGUACACAAACUAACAGAGGUGGUCACACACUACGGGUGCCUACUUUACAUUCUUUCUAGACCAAGUCAAGUGCUUUUCCAAAGUUUUUACAUUUCAUACUCGUAUAAUUUGUGUCCAAUUUGUUCAUAUUAUCUACAUUACAGGGUAAAGCCAUUUAUUUAUCAAGAACAAAUAUUUUGAUUCAUAGUGUUACUGUCAUUACAGUUUAUUGUUCCUCUGUUGUAAAUAGUACUACGGCUGUCCCUAUUAUGUAAAUAAAAAAGUAAUCAUACUUGUAAAACUGUAUAAAAUGAAAAUAAAUA